rnacentral:rRNA from 1 species
AUUGAACGCUGGCGGCAGGCUUAACACAUGCAAGUCGAGCGGGGUGAUGGUGCUUGCACUAUCACUUAGCGGCGGACGGGUGAGUAAUGCUUAGGAAUCUGCCUAUUAGUGGGGGACAACAUCUCGAAAGGGAUGCUAAUACCGCAUACGUCCUACGGGAGAAAGCAGGGGAUCACUUGUGACCUUGCGCUAAUAGAUGAGCCUAAGUCGGAUUAGCUAGUUGGUGGGGGAAAGGCCUACCAAGGCGACGAUCUGUAGCGGGUCUGAGAGGAUGAUCCGCCACACUGGGACUGGGACACGGCCCAGACUCCUACGGGAGGCAGCAGUGGGGAAUAUUGGACAAUGGGGGGAACCCUGAUCCAGCCAUGCCGCGUGUGUGAAGAAGGCCUUAUGGUUGUAAAGCACUUUAAGCGAGGAGGAGGCUCUUUUGGUUAAUACCCAAGAUGAGUGGACGUUACUCGCAGAGUAAGCACCGGCUAACUCUGUGCCAGCCGCCGCGGUAA